rnacentral:rRNA from 1 species
AGCAGCCGCGGUAAUUCCAGCUCCAAUAGCGUAUAUUAAAGUUGUUGCAGUUAAAAAGCUCGUAGUUGAAUUUCGGGGUUAGUAAGCUGGUCGUGCCACUGGUAUGUACUGGUUUUACUGAUCUCUCCUUCUUGUAGAACCGUAAUGCCAUUAAUUUGGUGUUGCGGGGAAACAGGACUGUUACUUUGAAAAAUUAGAGUGUUUAAAGCAGGCUAACGCUUGAAUACAUUAGCAUGGAAUAAUGAAAUAGGACGUUCGAUCCUAUUUUGUUGGUUUCUAGGAUUGACGUAAUGAUUAAUAGGGAUAGUUGGGGGCAUUAGUAUUCAAUUGUCAGAGGUGAAAUUCUUGGAUUUUAUUGAAGACUAACUACUGCGAAAGCAUUUGCCAAGGAUGUUUUCAUUAAUCAAGAACGAAAGUUAGGGGAUCGAAGACGAUCAGAUACCGUCGUAG